rnacentral:rRNA from 1 species
CAGCGCCACGGUAAUACGGAGGGUGCGAGCGUUAAUCGGAAUUACUGGGCGUAAAGCGUACGCAGGCGGUUUGUUAAGUCAGAUGUGAAAUCCCCGAGCUUAACUCGGGAACUGCAUUUGAAACUGGCAGGCUAGAGUCUCGUAGAGGGGGGUAGAAUUCAGGUGUAGCGGUGAAAUGCGUAGAGAUCUGGAGGAAUACCGGUGGCGAAGGCGGCCCCCUGGACGAAGACUGACGCUCAGGUACGAAAGCGUGGGGAGCAAACAGGAUUAGAUACCCCGGUAGUCCAUGUCUCUUAUACAA